rnacentral:rRNA from 1 species
GUGGGGAAUAUUGGACAAUGGGCGAAAGCCUGAUCCAGCCAUGCCGCGUGUGUGAAGAAGGUCUUCGGAUUGUAAAGCACUUUAAGUUGGGAGGAAGGGCAGUAAGUUAAUACCUUGCUGUUUUGACGUUACCGACAGAAUAAGCACCGGCUAACUUCGUGCCAGCAGCCGCGGUAAUACGAAGGGUGCAAGCGUUAAUCGGAAUUACUGGGCGUAUAGCGCGCGUAGGUGGUUUUGUAAGUUGGAGCUGAAAUGCCCUGGCUCAACCUGGGAACUGCCUCCAAAACUGCAUGACUAGAGUACGGUAGAGGGUAGUGGAAUUUCCUGUGUAGCGGUGAAAUGCGUAGAUAUAGGAAGGAACACCAGUGGCGAAGGCGACUACCUGGACUGAUACUGACACUGAGGUGCGAAAGCGUGGGGAGCAAACAGGAUUAGAUACCCUUGUAGUCC